rnacentral:lncRNA from 1 species
AAUAUAGAUUAUCAGGUAUACCUGUAGUAGGUCUGGAAUCCUUUGGGUAUAUACCAAAGAGUGAUAGAGCUGGAUCAUACAGAAGAUUUAAUUUUAGUUUUUGGUUUCUAUAAAGGCUCCACCCAUCAUUAUACUCUGGAAUGAAAUUAAAAGAAAAACUAAGCUUUACAUAUUAUGUGUGUGUGUGUGUGUGUGUGUGUGUGUGUGUGUGUGCAAUUUGUAUAUUUUAACCUUUGUAUAAUAUGUAAUUACAUAUAUAUUUUCAUUUGUGUAAUAUGUAUUAUAAAUAUAUUCUUCCAUGCAAGAUUUUUCUUCUAUCUUAAUAAUGUCCUGCACUUGGUAAAAGUUUUUAAUUGCUUGUAGCAAUAAUCUUUUCAAGUUUGAGUUCCCUAUGCCAUAUUGAAGAAAUAUUGGUAAAUCACAAAGAUAUGAAGAUACCAAAACACACAGAGGAAAGAGUCCAAAACUUCAUGGCUAGCUAUGGAGCAGGCCCAAUAAGAGAAGCUAUUUCUACAAUUCUGCUUAAGAAUAGCAAUGUUGAUAUCUUAUGUGUUAGUACAUCUUUCAGCCUUACAGAUAAGCAGAGGCUGUGGUUAAUUUGUAUUGUAAGUGUGCAGCACACACUUUAGCAUAUCCAAAGCCACACUCUAACACCAAGUUAAGAAUGUCCAUUGCUUUGUCCUGAAAUGAUGAGCUAUUCAGAAGCACCACUUUUCCCAGAAACCUAAUAUGGCUCAGAUACAAGCCAGUCUCCUAGGGCAGCAGAGUUGUUCUUCUGGACGCUGAGCCUGGAGGAUUGUCUACACUGCUGAUCUCCCUCAGUCUGUUUUCCUCCUAACUUCCCAUCAUUUUCCACAGUUUCUGCCUGGAACAGAUAUGACACUGGCUCCUGGGAAACCUGUGAUAUUAUUUGAUAAUUAUGAUGGGAGAUGAUUAGCUUUUUGGAAGAUUUAAUUUAGUUUUAAUCAUAUUAAAAAUUUUGUAAAUACUUUACUAUUAACAAAAAACCACACCAUGGAUACUGCCCCUCCAUUUGUCACUCAAACUUUUCCAAUGCCUCCAACUUUUCCAUCCCAACUUCAUUUCUUCUCUCUCUUUUCCUUCCACAGCUACAGAGUCUUUUUUGUGUAGCUUGUAUGUACAGGAGUGUGCAAUCAUAUACAGGAGCAUGUGUAACCUUUUAAUGGCUGUGACCACUGCCAAUAGAUCCUUAAAUAGGGCAAAUUUCAUGAAAACUUUUCCCAUUCAUGCUGGAAUUCUGGCUUACUUUGUUUUGUAUAAGUUUCAUGCAUGAACUUGCAGCCAUUGUGAGUUCCUAAGUGAAUCUGUGCUUCCAUGUCUGACAAAUGCUAUUUUGCUAUAGACAAAUGCUAUUUUGCUAUAGACAUUAUGGCCUAAACAGUGUCUGUAUAAACAGUGUUUCCAUGCACUAUUCUAUCAUAAAUUCUGGGCCUUGCAUAGAGGACAUGUGUUAUAGAGUCCCAUUUUUAUAUGAACACUCUCUAGUUUCUUAUUCUCUGCAUUUUGACUGUUAUUGGUUUCCAUAUUAAUCACAAAUCCUCUGCUUAUCUAAAAGGCUGAAAGAUGUACUAACACAUAAGCUAUUCACUCUAUAAUUAUUAAGCAGAAUCAAAGAACUAGAUUCUCUUAUGGGCCCUGUUGCUUAUGGUAAGACUCUAUCUCAAACACAGUUAACUAGUUAGACACUUGAAGUAAAUGGUGACAGAAGAAGCCAUUAAUUGAAAAUGGGGGAGGAAAAGGUAAUACAUACAUACAUAUAUACAUACACACAAAGGUGUAUAUAAUAUAAAAGUAUGAGUAUAUAUGUGUGUAUGUGUGUGUGUGUGUGUGUGUGUGUGUGUGUGUGUGUGUGUGUACUUUUCUCUUUCCCUAUGAUCUGAAGGGUGUGGAAGAUAGAGUUAGAAACAUACAAAGUGGAGGUUAGGAAAUGUAUUUCGAUUUGUCUUCUGUAAUGUUUAAUAGCUAUAAAUCUGCUAAACCACUUAACAUUAUCAGCAUCCCAGAUCCUUCAAACAACAAGGGUAACAAGCCCUAAUUAACUGCCUUAAUUUAAAAGGGAACACGGUGUUCAUGUAACCCAGCUUCACUCUGUGCCCCCUGAAUACAAAUAGCUCAGAAGGAGAUGAUCAUAAUAAUUUCUCAACUUUGUUCCAUGGCCUCUUUCUACCACUGUCCACAUUUACGCAGAACCAGGUUGACAGAAUGGUGUAUCUAUGGAGGGUUUAGACUGUCUCAGAUGGGCAGUUUUGUUCUAGCCAUUAAUAUUCUGAAGGUUUCUGGACCAGGUGC